GAUGAACGCUGGCGGCGUGCCUAAUACAUGCAAGUCGAGCGAACAGAUGAGGAGCUUGCUCCUCUGACGUUAGCGGCGGACGGGUGAGUAACACGUGGAUAACCUACCUAUAAGACUGGGAUAACUUCGGGAAACCGGAGCUAAUACCGGAUAAUAUAUUGAACCGCAUGGUUCAAUAGUGAAAGACGGUUUUGCUGUCACUUAUAGAUGGAUCCGCGCCGCAUUAGCUAGUUGGUAAGGUAACGGCUUACCAAGGCAACGAUGCGUAGCCGACCUGAGAGGGUGAUCGGCCACACUGGAACUGAGACACGGUCCAGUCUCCUACGGGAGGCAGCAGUAGGGAAUCUUCCGCAAUGGGCGAAAGCCUGACGGAGCAACGCCGCGUGAGUGAUGAAGGUCUUCGGAUCGUAAAACUCUGUUAUUAGGGAAGAGCAAAUGUGUAAGUAACUAUGCACGUCUUGACGGUACCUAAUCAGAAAGCCACGGCUAACUACGUG
rnacentral:rRNA from 1 species